rnacentral:rRNA from 1 species
AGAGUCCACAUGGACGGGGAGGUGUGGGACCUCGAUGUCGGCUAAUCACAGCGUGGGGCUGUAGUAGGUCCCAAGGGUUGGGCUGUUCGCCCAUUAAAGUGGUACGCGAGCUGGGUUCAGAACGUCGUGGGACAGUUCGGUCCCUAUCCGUCGCAGGCGUAGGAAAUUUGAGAAGACCUGUCCUUAGUACGAGAGGACCGGGAUGGACGUACCUCUGGUGUACCAGUUGUCCUGCCAAGGGCAUGGCUGGGUAGCUA